GACGAAGGGGGCUAGCGUUGUUCGGAAUUACUGGGCGUAAAGCGAGUGUAGGCGGUUGCCCAAGUCAGGUGUGAAAGCCUUGAGCUCAACUCAAGAAAUGCACUUGGUACUGGGUGGCUAGAGGACCGGAGAGGAUAGUGGAAUUCCCAGUGUAGUGGUGAAAUACGUAGAUAUUCGGAAGAACACCAGUGGCGAAGGCGACUCACUGGACACGUAUUGACGCUGAGGUGCGAAAGCGUGGGGAGCAAACAGG
rnacentral:rRNA from 1 species